rnacentral:rRNA from 1 species
UACGUAGGGUGCAAGCGUUGUCCGGAAUUAUUGGGCGUAAAGAGCUCGUAGGCGGUUUGUCGCGUCUGCUGUGAAAACUGGGGGCUCAACCCCCAGCCUGCAGUGGGUACGGGCAGACUAGAGUGCGGUAGGGGAGAUUGGAAUUCCUGGUGUAGCGGUGGAAUGCGCAGAUAUCAGGAGGAACACCGAUGGCGAAGGCAGGUCUCUGGGCCGCAACUGACGCUGAGGAGCGAAAGCAUGGGGAGCGAACAGG